UACGUAGGGGGCAAGCGUUGUCCGGAUUUAUUGGGCGUAAAGCGCACGUAGGCGGAUUGUUAAGUCAGGGGUGAAAUCCUGGAGCUCAACUCCAGAACUGCCUUUGAUACUGGGAGUCUUGAGUUCGGGAGAGGUGAGUGGAACUGCGAGUGUAGAGGUGAAAUUCGUAGAUAUUCGCAAGAACACCAGUGGCGAAGGCGGCUCACUGGCCCGAUACUGACGCUGAGGUGCGAAAGCGUGGGGAGCAAACAGG
rnacentral:rRNA from 1 species